UACGAAGGGGGCAAGCGUUGUUCGGAAUUACUGGGCGUAAAGGGUGCGCAGGCGGCCAAGUGUGUGAGGCGUGAAAGCCCGGGGCUUAACCCCGGAAUUGCACCUCAAACUACAUGGCUAGAGCAUUGGAGAGGGUAGCGGAAUUCACGGUGUAGCAGUGAAAUGCGUAGAUAUCGUGAGGAACACCAGAGGCGAAGGCGGCUACCUGGACAAUUGCUGACGCUCAGGCACGAAAGCGUGGGGAGCAAAAGGG
rnacentral:rRNA from 1 species